CCCGUGUUCUGUUACUGCACGGGAUGCAGUAAGCACCUUCAUAAUGUCACAGUCUGGGUGGCAGUGAAUCGGUGGCUCCCCUGGGGAAGGUCCUGGGGGCAGGGAAGUUGGCAGUGCCUCCAGGUCCCAGCAUGGUCCUGUGAGCUGCAGGGGUAGAUCUUGGCCAGGAGCAGCUGUCACUGCUCCAUUGAGCUGAUGAAUCUGUGACAUCGGUAAGGAACGAGCCCUAUAACUUUGGCUGCGAACACCGAUGACAGAGCAUUGAUGUGACCAUCCACAAAAAGAGGAUUCUAAGAUCCGCCUGCUGGGGAGCUGGGGCAGAGUAAGGGGUCCUUUUCUACAAAUGCUUUUCAGUCUUAUGGAAGUUUGCCACAGACCUCUGCCAGCAUGUGCUUGUUCAUGGUGUGGUAACCCUUCCACACUUUGAGUGCAGUGCAAACAGCAGGUAGAGAGAAAGAAGAUGAAACCAGGUCAUUCGGUGGGGUUGAAGAGCUGAAGAGGCUUGGAAGGGAUCCUGAUUUACAACUGCGUUUCUGUAUCGCUGCUGGUUCACCUCAGUAUUGCUCCUACCACUCUCAGUCAGCAGCACCAAGUUCCCCAAGUGCUCCUUCUGAAAGAAACCCCAUGGAAAAUGAACCAUUCCUGUAGAAUUCUUGCUGAAGAUCUACCUACUUGGCUUAGUGAAGCUUCACCUGCCCAGAUUAAAAAGUUUACUCUGAUGCUGUUAUCCAGCAUCAGGAGAAGGAUGGCGGGCCACCUUUUUUUGCAGAUUAAAACUGCAGUCACCUGCUGGAGAUGGGCUAUGGAGAUGGUUAUUUGGCUCAGCACUUUGCCUUUCUCUCUGUGAGCUCCCAGUGCUCAAUAAACUGUGCAUUUUUCCUCAGCUUUUGUAGCCCUGUUUGCAGCAAUUACCAUUCUCG
ensembl:lncRNA